AUACGUCGGGUGCGAGCGUUGUCCGGAAUUACUGGGCGUAAAGAGCUCGUAGGUGGUUUGUCGCGUCGUCUGUGAAAUUCCGGGGCUUAACUCCGGGCGUGCAGGCGAUACGGGCAUAACUUGAGUACUGUAGGGGAGACUGGAAUUCCUGGUGUAGCGGUGAAAUGCGCAGAUAUCAGGAGGAACACCGGUGGCGAAGGCGGGUCUCUGGGCAGUAACUGACGCUGAGGAGCGAAAGCAUGGGUAGCGAACAGGAUUAGAUACCCUGGUAGUCCAUGCCGUAAACGGUGGGCGCUAGGUGUAGGGGUCUUCCUCUACUUCUGUGCCGUAUCUAACGCAUUAAGCGCCCCGCCUGGGGAGUACGGCCGCAAGGCUAAAACUCAAAUGAAUUGACGGGG
rnacentral:rRNA from 1 species